GACGAACGCUGGCGGCGUGCUUAACACAUGCAAGUCGAACGGAAAGGCCCUGCUUUUGUGGGGUGCUCGAGUGGCGAACGGGUGAGUAACACGUGAGUAACCUGCCCUUGACUUUGGGAUAACUUCAGGAAACUGGGGCUAAUACCGGAUAGGAGCUCCUGCUGCAUGGUGGGGGUUGGAAAGUUUCGGCGGUUGGGGAUGGACUCGCGGCUUAUCAGCUUGUUGGUGGGGUAGUGGCUUACCAAGGCUUUGACGGGUAGCCGGCCUGAGAGGGUGACCGGCCACAUUGGACCUGGGAUGCGGCCCAGACUCCUACGGGAGGCAGCAGUGGGGAAUAUUGCACAAUGGGCGGAAGCCUGAUGCAGCAACGCCGCGUGCGGGAUGACGGCAUUCGGGUUGUAAACCGCUUUCGCCUGUGACGAAGCGUGAGUGACGGUAAUGGGUAAAGAAGCACCGGCUAACUACGUG
rnacentral:rRNA from 1 species